rnacentral:rRNA from 1 species
GGCGGACGGCUGAGUAACGCGUGGGAACGUACCCCAAAGUGAGGAAUAACCGCUCGAAAGGGUGGCUAAUGCCGCAUAUGGUCUUCGGAUUAAAGGAUUUAUCCGCUUUGGGAACGGCCUGCGUACGAUUAGAUAGUUGGUGAGGUAAAGGCUCACCAAGUCUACGAUCGUUAACUGGUCUGAGAGGAUGAUCAGUCAGACUGGAACUGAGACACGGUCCAGACUCCUACGGGAGGCAGCAGUGAGGAAUCUUCCACAAUGGGCGAAAGCCUGAUGGAGCAACGCCGCGUGCAGGAUGAAGGCCUUCGGGUCGUAAACUGCUUUUAUAAGUGAAGAAUAUGACGGUAACUUAUGAAUAAGCACCGGCUAACUACGUGCCAGCAGCCGCGGUCAUACGUAGGGUGCAAGCAUUAUCCGGAGUGACUGGGCGUAAAGAGUUGCGUAGGUGGUUUGUUAAGUGAAUAGUGAAAUCUGGUGGCUCAACCAUACAGACUAUUAUUCAAACUGGCAAACUCGAGAAUAGCAGAGGUAACUGGAAUUUCUAGUGUAGGAGUGAAAUCCGUAGAUAUUAGAAGGAA